AUCCAGCUGACGAGUCCCAAACAGGACGAAACCCCAAUCCCGGAU
rnacentral:hammerhead_ribozyme from 1 species